AGACGAUAUUUAUAUAUUUUGUAAAGUAUAAAUGUUUUCUUAUUUGACCUUAUGUAAAUUUUAAUUAAAUUUUAGUAUGCAAUCCUAUAUAUAUUGAUUUGCUAUGGAAUUUAGUAGUAUGUUACAAGCACUAGAGAUUUUUAUAAGUGAUUUGGUUUGGAUUGGUUUGGGAGACUCUGACUAGAAAAUCGUAGUUAACAGCGGUUAUGACGUUAACCUAGAUGCAUCUGGCUCAGACCUCAGCUAGCAGGGGCGUUGCUAGCCUAACGUGUAGGCCACGCGUUGGAUCUGUUAUACCGUACGGGCACACUAGAGGAAAGGGCUACCCUUAGAGGUGGAGCCGCCCUAGAUACAGGAGUCAUUCCAGGUUCCAUUCCACCUGCCCCUCAGUAGAUUUUAGUCAUUUUGGUGAGCCCUUCUUCUUUCUAAGGGCUAAGUAAUUAUGUAAUGGAACUUUUGCUCAAAAUCUAGAUUAUGUCAAUGCUCCAUAUGUCACAGGCAGGAUCCUCGUGUGGGUUAUGUUAUUUUGAAUCUUGAACUGUUUAGGUAGUGAUUAUGAUUUGGUUAUGUAAGACUUAUGGUUUUAACUAUAUACUCUAGUUAUCAACUUGAUAUAUAUAUGAUGCGUAUUUUGGAUA